GGGAGAGAAAAAAGCUACCAGCAACAUUCAGACUGAGAGAGGCCAAAAUACUAAUUCAUAAUUAGCCUGGUACAUAUGAAGGAUCAAAAAGAACAGGACUGUAUGUCUAACCUCUGACAGGCCCUACCACCAUAGUAGAGACUCAGUAUGUAUACUUAAUGAAGGAAUAAUGAAUACAUCAGCAAGAGAAAUAAGAGUGACCAUAUGUUCCUUAAGAGAAGCAAAGAGCAGCUCCUGUUCCUGCUGGAAUGAGUCUCCAUUCCUUGCAACAGAAGUGUCCUAAGUUAUAGCCAGAGGACGGGGGCACAUUGACAAAACAUAAUAACAAGGUACCAUUCCAGCAAGAACAUCUGAAGAAAGAAGCAGUGUUGUUUAUCUUUCCUUCAUCUAUUCUGAAACUAAAAUCCUUAACCAAAUUUAUUUCCGAAGUUUAACCCUUUAAUAAACUGGCCUCUGACUCCACCUGGUGGAGAUACAUAAAUCUAUGAAAAUAAACCAAUCCAAAUGAAGAUUUUAAAGUCAUCGGCUCUCUUUCAUGUCUCAAAGAAAAAACACAUAUCCCAAAAUUCAAAUAGAUGACCUUCUCGGAUGUGUUAUAGGCACUCAGAAGCCCCGAAGAAAAAAUAGUUUGAGUUGAUCAUUUGACUGUUGCUCUCAGCCUUCAUUUCUGCCUUUCUAGGUUGUGUCAGGCAUUUUGACUGUCCAGGGGCCCUGCAUAUUCUAUUUUCCUAGUUACUUGCUAAGGUUUGAAUAUUUGUCCCCCUCCAAAACUCAUGUUGAAAUUUAAU
rnacentral:lncRNA from 1 species